rnacentral:rRNA from 1 species
UACGUAGGGUGCAAGCGUUAAUCGGAAUUACUGGGCGUAAAGCGUGCGCAGGCGGUUCGUUAAGUUCGAUGUGAAAGCCCCGGGCUCAACCUGGGAACUGCAUUGGAAACUGGCGAGCUUGAGUGUGGCAGAGGGGGGUGGAAUUCCGCGUGUAGCAGUGAAAUGCGUAGAGAUGCGGAGGAACACCGAUGGCGAAGGCAGCCCCCUGGGCCAACACUGACGCUCAGGCACGAAAGCGUGGGGAGCAAACAGG